AUUCUGGUGGUAAGGACUUUUAUGGGGUGAGACACAGCACAGAUCGCUUUCUGGUCCAAACUUCACCAUGGACACCAACAUGGAACUCAAUCAGCGCAUCAGAUCAGGCGAUCUCAGACGAUCAAAGAAAUCUUUCGUGUUCCUGAACCUGAGGAGCUGAGCAAGGGCAGUGGUGGCUCUUCAGUUGAGGCUCUGGGAUAGCAAUCAGAAGGUUGCUAUGGCUACACUCCAGCUUGCGAUGCUUUGCGAUGGUUAUUGAUGAAAAUGAAGCGUUUUGAUGGCGAUCCUUCCUUGAGCUUCGGGAAGUAUUACCAAACCCAUCUUCUGAUGAGGAAUGAUUGAGCUUCACAGGACUGGCGGUUGACAGCUGGCCGCACUCUUCCGCUCGAAAGAGCAACAACACUUCGUCAGCAACACAUAACUGCAGAGACGUUCACCAGGACGAAGACCAAAGUUAUAAGUUAUUCAGCUUACAUAGCUAUCUAAGUGACAAUGUAGACAAAUACAGUCUGGAUGAACUGAGACUUCCAAACACAAACCUCUAAAUGUCCAGCCAAAAAUUCAACAUGGACGCAUUUUUCCUUUCGUGCCCACAAGACCAACAUGAACCUCAUUAAAAAGCAAUCAUGUCCGUAAGCUUCCCCUGGGUUUCCUACCAUGUGAAAUUCUGCUGGUGUUUUCUUAACACUGUUAUCGCCAACAUUGCGGCUGUGAUUAGGUUGCCUGCAGAUCAUCACAGCCGUGACGGUAUUCGUGAUAACACGCAAGCCUCGAUGUUGUGUUGCCUUCAUUGCACACUUUUGCAAAGUAAAGCCAAAAAACUGCCAAAACUUUCUUUCAAAUACACACAUCACCAUCUAAUAAAACAAUCGCGUGCAAAUUGCAGACCAUAAGCGUUUCACUGAGCAGCUCUGGGUGGGCGUGUCUGUCUAAAUACUAUGAUAUUGUAGGUGUGUCACUGAGUCCAUAUAUGGAAGUGUUCAAACAGAAAAAGUUGUUCGUGUUCACAUAGAACAUGUACACAUACUGUAUAUGCACAUUUCUGAAGCUAGUGAACAACCAUGAGCUAAUAUUUCUGAAAGGAUUUGAAAGUCUCAUCUCAUUAUCUCUAGCCGCUUUAUCCUGUUCUACAGGGUCGCAGGCAAGCUGGAGCCUAUCCCAGCUGACUACGGGCGAA